rnacentral:misc_RNA from 1 species
GAGAGAGAGAGAGAGAGAGCAUGUAUGAGAGAAACAAAAAUGAAAGUGGGAAAGCAGUGUGAAGUGUGAAUCAAAACCAGAAGAAAGAAAGUGUUGUUAAAGAAAUUGUUGUUAUGUGGUUUUCAUGGUACUUUUUUUUGAAAACUUAGGACAAGAUAAGUGAUAAAUACAAAAAAAUACUCCUGCAAGCAAACAUGUUUUUGGUUUCUUUUAUGUGGGAAAAAAUGGGAAACUUCAACAUUCUCAAUUGGGCACGUCACUCAACUUUAUGUAUCUGUAGUUAAUAAAUACCAAAAACAUGCUCCUGCAACCAAACAUGUUUUUGGUUUCUCUAUGUGGAAAAAAAAUGGGAAACUUCGACGUUCUCAAUUGGGCACUUCACUCAACUUUAUGUAUCUGUAGUUAAUAAAUACCAAAAACAUGCUCCUGCAACCAAACAUGUUUUUGGUUUCUCUAUGUGGAAAAAAAAUGGGAAACUUCGACGUUCUCAAUUGGGCACU